rnacentral:rRNA from 1 species
AUUGAACGCUGGCGGCAGGCUUAACACAUGCAAGUCGAGCGGGGUGAUGGUGCUUGCACUAUCACUUAGCGGCGGACGGGUGAGUAAUGCUUAGGAAUCUGCCUAUUAGUGGGGGACAACAUCUCGAAAGGGAUGCUAAUACCGCAUACGUCCUACGGGAGAAAGCAGGGGAUCACUUGUGACCUUGCGCUAAUAGAUGAGCCCAAGUCGGAUUAGCUAGUUGGUGGGGUAAAGGCCUACCAAGGCGACGAUCUGUAGCGGGUCUGAGAGGAUGAUCCGCCACACUGGGACUGAGACACGGCCCAGACUCCUACGGGAGGCAGCAGUGGGGAAUAUUGGACAAUGGGGGGAACCCUGAUCCAGCUAUGCCGCGUGUGUGAAGAAGGCCUUAUGGUUGUAAAGCACUUUAAGCGAGGAGGAGGCUCUUUUGGUUAAUACCCAAGAUGAGUGGACGUUACUCGCAGAAUAAGCACCGGCUAACUCUGUGCCAGCCGCCGCAGUAA